rnacentral:rRNA from 1 species
GAUGAACGCUGGCGGCGUGCCUAAUACAUGCAAGUCGAGCGAACGGACGAGAAGCUUGCUUCUCUGAUGUUAGCGGCGGACGGGUGAGUAACACGUGGAUAACCUACCUAUAAGACUGGGAUAACUUCGGGAAACCGGAGCUAAUACCGGAUGAUAUUUUGAACCGCAUGGUUCAAAAGUGAAAGACGGUCUUGCUGUCACUUAUAGAUGGAUCCGCGCUGCAUUAGCUAGUUGGUAAGGUAACGGCUUACCAAGGCAACGAUGCAUAGCCGACCUGAGAGGGUGAUCGGCCACACUGGAACUGAGACACGGUCCAGACUCCUACGGGAGGCAGCAGUAGGGAAUCUUCUGCAAUGGGCGAAAGCCUGACGGAGCAACGCCGCGUGAGUGAUGAAGGUCUUCGGAUCGUAAAACUCUGUUAUUAGGGAAGAACAUAUGUGUAAGUAACUGUGCACAUCUUGACGGCACCUAAUCAGAAAGCCACGGCUAACUACGUG